rnacentral:rRNA from 1 species
GGUUUAAUUCGAUGCAACGCGAAGAACCUUACCUGGUCUUGACAUCCACGGAAGUUUUCAGAGAUGAGAAUGUGCCUUCGGGAGCCGUGAGACAGGUGCUGCAUGGCUGUCGUCAGCUCGUGUUGUGAAAUGUUGGGUUAAGUCCCGCAACGAGCGCAACCCUUAUCCUUUGUUGCCAGCGGUCCGGCCGGGAACUCAAAGGAGACUGCCAGUGAUAAACUGGAGGAAGGUGGGGAUGACGUCAAGUCAUCAUGGCCCUUACGACCAGGGCUACACACGUGCUACAAUGGCGCAUACAAAGAGAAGCGACCUCGCGAGAGCAAGCGGACCUCAUAAAGUGCGUCGUAGUCCGGAUUGGAGUCUGCAACUCGACUCCAUGAAGUCGGAAUCGCUAGUAAUCGUGGAUCAGAAUGCCACGGUGAAUACGUUCCCGGGCCUUGUACACACCGCCCGUCACACCAUGGGAGUGGGUUGCAAAAGAAGUAGGUAGCUUAACCUUCGGGAGGGCGCUUACCACUUUGUGAUUCAUGACUGGGGUGAAGUCGUAACAAGGUAACCGUAGGGGAACCUGCGGUUGGAUCACCUCCUUACCUUAAAGAAGC